CAGCUUGCUGGGGUGAUUAGUGGCGAACGGGUGAGUAACACGUGAGUAACCUGCCCUUAACUCUGGGAUAAGCCUGGGAAACUGGGUCUAAUACCGGAUAUGACUCCUCAUCGCAUGGUGGGGGGUGGAAAGCUUUUUGUGGUUUUGGAUGGACUCGCGGCCUAUCAGCUUGUUGGUGAGGUAAUGGCUCACCAAGGCGACGACGGGUAGCCGGCCUGAGAGGGUGACCGGCCACACUGGGACUGAGACACGGCCCAGACUCCUACGGGAGGCAGCAGUGGGGAAUAUUGCACAAUGGGCGCAAGCCUGAUGCAGCGACGCCGCGUGAGGGAUGACGGCCUUCGGGUUGUAAACCUCUUUCAGUAGGGAAGAAGCGAAAGUGACGGUACCUGCAGAAGAAGCGCCGGCUAACUACGUGCCAGCAGCCGCGGUAAUACGUAGGGCGCAAGCGUUAUCCGGAAUUAUUGGGCGUAAAGAGCUCGUAGGCGGUUUGUCGCGUCUGCCGUGAAAGUCCGGGGCUCAACUCCGGAUCUGCGGUGGGUACGGGCAGACUAGAGUGAUGUAGGGGAGACUGGAAUUCCUGGUGUAGCGGUGAAAUGCGCAGAUAUCAGGAGGAACACCGAUGGCGAAGGCAGGUCUCUGGGCAUUAACUGACGCUGAGGAGCGAAAGCAUGGGGAGCGAACAGGAUUAGAUACCCUGGUAGUCCAUGCCGUAAACGUUGGGCACUAGGUGUGGGGGACAUUCCACGUUUUCCGCGCCGUAGCUAACGCAUUAAGUGCCCCGCCUGGGGAGUACGGCC
rnacentral:rRNA from 1 species